UACGAAGGGGGCUAGCGUUGCUCGGAAUUAUUGGGCGUAAAGCGCGUGUAGGCGGCUUUGCAAGUCGGGUGUGAAAGCCCUCAGCUCAACUGAGGAAGUGCGCCCGAAACUGCAGAGCUUGAGUACCGGAGAGGAUGGCGGAAUUCCCCAAGUAGAGGUGAAAUUCGUAGAUAUGGGGAGGAACACCGGUGGCGAAGGCGGCCAUCUGGACGGAUACUGACGCUGAGACGCGAAAGCGUGGGUAGCAAACAGG
rnacentral:rRNA from 1 species